rnacentral:rRNA from 1 species
AGAGUUUGAUCCUGGCUCAGGAUGAACGUUGGCGGCAUGCCUAACACAUGCAAGUCGAACGCAGGCUUCGGCCUGAGUGGCGAACGGGUGCGUAACACGUGGGUGACCUACCUGGAAGAGGGGGAUAAUCGCCGGAAACGGUGGCUAAUACCGCAUGAUCUGUACGUUGUUUGAGGACGUACAGGAAAACUCCGGUGCUUCCAGCGGGGCCCGCGGCCUAUCAGGUAGUUGGUGUGGUAACGGCGCACCAAGCCGAUGACGGGUAGCUGACCUGAGAGGGUGGUCAGCCACAGGGGAACUGAGACACGGUCCCCACUCCUACGGGAGGCAGCAGUGAGGAAUAUUGGGCAAUGGGCGCAAGCCUGACCCAGCAAUGCCGCGUGAAGGAUGACGCCCCUCGGGGUGUAAACUUCUUUUGUGUGGGAGGAGCAAGGACCGUACCACACGAAUCAGUCACGGCUAACUACGUGCCAGCAGCCGCGGUAAUACGUAGGUGGCGAACGUUAUCCGGAAUUACUGGGCGUAAAGGGUCCGCAGGCGGGUCACCAAGUCCGGCGUGAAAGCUCCCGGCUCAACUGGGAAACUGCAUCGGAAACUGAUCGGCUUGAAGGUGGGAGAGGGUAGUGGAAUUCCCGGUGUAGUGGUGAAAUGCGUAGAUAUCGGGAGGAACACCAGUGGCGAAGGCGGAUCUCUGGGCCUUACCUGACGCUCAGCGCGAAAGCUAGGGGAGCGAACAGGAUUAGAUACCCUGGUAGUCCUAGCCGUAAACGUUGGGUGCUAGGUGUGGGCGGAUAUCAACCCCGUCCGUGCCGAAGCUAACGCAUUGAGCACCCCGCCUGGGGAGUACGGCCGCAGGGCUAAAACUCAAAGGAAUUGACGGGGGCCCGCACAAGCGGCGGAGCACGCGGCUUAUUCGAUGCACGCGAAGAACCUUACCUGGGCUUGACAUGCAUGGUGAAACCCGUGAAAGCGGUGCUCUUCGGAGCCUGCACAGUGGUGCAUGACUGUCGUCAGCUCGUGCCGUGAGAGUUGCCUUAGUGGCGCACGAGCGCAACCCCUGUUCCUAGUUGCAGCCGAUCAUGCCGGAAACUCUAGGGAGAACUGCCGGUGCCAAACCGAGAAGGUGGGAUGACUCAGGUCUCAUAUGCCCUAAGUUCAGGGCUCACCAUGGCUUACUAGUGCCGCGGCGUACAAAAAGACUGUCAC